UUGUAUGGUCGUUAACAUUGAUGGUUUUAUACCCAAACCUACCGCCUGGGAACUACGAGCAAUAGCUAUAAACCCAAAGGACUUGGCGGUGCUUUAGACCCCCCUAGAGGAGCCUGUUCUAGAACUGAUAACCGGCGUUUAACCUCACCAUCCUUUGUUUUCCCCGCCUAUAUACACCGUCGUCAGCUUACCCUGUGA
rnacentral:rRNA from 1 species